rnacentral:rRNA from 1 species
GUCUGCGGCCGAUUAGGUUGUUGUUGAUGUAACGGAUCAACAAGCCUACGAUCGGUACGGGUUGUGAGAGCAAUAGCCCGGAGAUGGGUUCUGAGAGAAGAACCCAGGUCCUACGGGACGCAUCAGGCGCGAAAACUUUACAAUGUGAGAAAGCAGAUAAGGGAACUCUGAGUGCCUCCUAAGGAGGCUGUUCAGGUGUCUAAAAAGCACCUGAAGGAAGGGCUGGGUAAGACCGGUGCCAGCCGCCGCGGUAACACCGGCAGCCCAAGUGGUAGCCANGUUUAUUGGGUCUAAAGCGUCCGUAGCCGGCCGGGUAAGUUCCUUGGGAAAUUUGACCGCUUAACGGUCAAGCUUUCAGGGAAUACUGCUUGGCUUGGGACCGGGAGAGGUCAGAGGUACUCCAGGGGUAGGGGUGAAAUCCUUUAAUCCUUGGGGGACCACCGGUAGCGAAGGCGUCUGACCAGACCGGGUCCGACGGUGAGGGACGAAGGCUAGGGUCGCGAACCGGAUUAGAUACCCGGGUAGUCCUAGCUGUAAACGAUGCGGGCCAGGUGUUGGCAUUCCUGCGAGUGGAUGCCAGUGCC